rnacentral:rRNA from 1 species
AGUGAACGCUGGCGGUAGGCCUAACACAUGCAAGCCGAACGGCAGCACAGGAGAGCUUGCUCUCUGGGUGGCGAGUGGCGGACGGGUGGGGAAUACAUCGGAAUCUACUCUGUCGUGGGGGAUAACGUAGGGAAACUUACGCUAAUACCGCAUACGACCUACGGGUGAAAGCAGGGGACCUUCGGGCCUUGCGCGAUUGAAUGAGCCGAUGUCGGUUUAGCUAGUUGGCGGGGUAAAGGCCCACCAAGGCGACGAUCCGUAGCUGGUCUGAGAGUAUGAUCAGUCACACUGGAACUGAGACACGGUCCAGACUCCUACGGGAGGCAGCAGUGGGGAAUAUUGGACAAUGGGCGCAAGCCUGAUCCAGCCAUACCGCGUGGGUGAAGAAGGCCUUCGGGUUGUAAAGCCCUUUUGUUGGGAAAGAAAUCCAGCUGGCUAAUACCCGGUUGGGAUGACGGUACCCAAAGAAUAAGCACCGGCUAACUUCGUGCCAGCCGCCGCCGUAA